GUGCCAGCAGCCGCGGUAAGACGAACCGUGCGAACGUUGUUCGGAAUCACUGGGCUUAAAGGGCGCGUAGGCGGCUCAUCAAGUCGGGGGUGAAAUACUUCAGCUUAACUGGAGAAGUGCCUUCGAUACUGGUGGGCUUGAGGGAGGUAGGGGUCUUUGGAACUUCUGGUGGAGCGGUGAAAUGCGUUGAUAUCAGAAGGAACGCCGGUGGCGAAAGCGAAGGACUGGACCUCUUCUGACGCUGAGGCGCGAAAGCUAGGGGAGCAAACGGGAUUAGAAACCCCUGUAGUCC
rnacentral:rRNA from 1 species